UUGGAAAGUGUGUCCCUGCCCAAUGUUCAGUUAGUUUUUUCAAACGGGAUUGUUGGUGUUGUUUUAGAGAUCAAAGUAUGUGUUCGAAAACCCAAAAAGAAUGUGAAUCCAAUCCCCGUUGUCCUCCUUUAAAGUUUUAAACUUUUUGAAAAUUAAUGUACUGCUAUGAAAUUUACAACUUUAUAAUGUUUUACUCAAUGUAAGAACGCUCUAUAUAACCUGACUACACUACCUGGCAAUGUACGACCUUGAUUAAAAUUAUUUUUAAGAAACCAAAGAAGCUAAAAUGAAUAGGUGCAUAUUGGUAUAGUUAAUAU
rnacentral:sRNA from 1 species